AGUUACAGAAAGAACCCACUGCAGGGCGUCCAGUCACUUGCCCAGUGAAAAGACUGUAAUCAGACAACUUUAAUAAAGGGAGAGCAGGAGAGUGGUGACGAAUUUCCACAUUCCGAACAAGCUUGUCGAAAGAGGAGUGCAGGGAAGGAGCAAGAAUGAGGCACUGGAAGACGGCUGUAGGCGCAUGAUGUCACAAGUUAUUGGAAGAAAUCCCUCCAACCUAGGUUGGGACAGAUGAAGGCGGCGCUUAUUGGUGUUCACCAAAACACCAGCAUGGUGUACCAGCUUUGGCUAGAUGAUGCUCAGAACACCAGAGACUGGGUAAUUAAUAAAAAGAAGAAAUUGAUCUGGCCUACAGUUCUGGAGCCUUGGAAGUCCGAGAUCAAGGAGCUGCAUCUGGGUUCUAGGAUGCCUCAUAAAGGCCCGUAGUGUACUUUCUGUCUACUUCACUUAGCUCCGCAUUUGCAAUUUCUGUUAACAUGCAUACAGUUGAAUGGAUGGCCAGGAUCAAAGCUAUCUGCUGUGAGACACAAUGAGAAAUGCUUUUGUGUAAAGAUAAAUACCUGGAGUGGGAUUGCUAGAUCACAUGGAAAACACAGAUCCUGGUGCCGAACAUGAGGACAGGGCAGGCCGAAGGAGAAAGUGGAAGGAGGGGAGCUUCUCUCUCAGCCUCAUCCUUCUGGGCCUGGAUGCUGGAGAGUCAUGAGGUGCUUCAGAGUACUCUGGGUGAGGAGGGAAAGAUGGUGCCCACCACAUGGAGGCCAGCCUAGGUCUUGUAUGAAACCUGUGAGGCCAGCAGGAGCCAGGCCGUGGCCUGCUGACUGCAUCUGCCAGAUGACUACCAAUGUGUGAGUAAACCCAUUCUCAAGCCCAAGAGAACCUCUCAGCUGAACCAGGCCCAAGUUGCUCACCCACUGAACUGCCAGUUAAAUAAAUGGUGGUUGUUUUAAUCCACUAAAUGCUGGGAUGGUUUGUUAUACAGCAGUAGGUAUCAAUACAGUGUACUUGUCAAUCUAGGAAUUCCUGUCUUGUCAAAUCUGAGAAAAUUCUCGGUCACUGUCACUUCAAAUAUUACUUCUUUCCCAUUUUCUAUUCACUCAUUCCAAAACUCCUAGUGGAUGUCUUUUCUGUCAUUUCUGGUUCUGUCUUUUGUGAUCUUAAACUUUCAUUCAUUGUUUUUCCAUUUUUACUUCCGUGUUACAUUUUGAGUCAUUUCCUUAGUUCCAGUUUGCUUAUUUUCUAUUCAACCAUUAAAUAUUUCUAUUUAGUUUUAAGUUUCAGUGGCUAUAAGUUUCAUUUAUAAAAGAACUAUUUGGUUAUUUUCUAAAUCUGCAUUUUGUUUUCACAUGUUUUUCUGUUUUUUAAUUUGUAUUUUCCUUUGCCCUUGUAAAUCAUUUAAAAUGUACUUAUUUUAUAAUCAUCUGUGGCUUGAUCUGUUUCUUUACUUCUUGGGCAUUACUUUUUCUGUUAAUUUCAUGAUCUGACCCUCAAGGUGGUUUCCUCCUAUGGUUUGUAAUUUUUAUUAUGAGCUUAUUUUCAGCAGGGAUUUCUCCCCUCUGGUGAAGAUCUGUAUGCCUUGGGUAAUGUGAUUGUCACUUCACUAUGCCUGCAAGUUUGCUUCUGAUGGCAUCCUACCGAUAUCACCAACUCUCAACCAGCUCUAAUGUUUCUUGGUAUUUCUGCCCACAGUGAAAAUUCAGAGCUCACUUCAAUGCAUGGCAUGGGCUUGGCUUCAAGUUUUUCUGUAUGACCUUUUUUUAAAUUUAUUUUUAUUUUUUUAAACCUAUAGCCCAAGGACACGGGAGCUUUUUUUCCUGAUUUGUUUUUGCCAACACUGUAGCCCUCAGGAACUCAGAUUUUGCAAAGUGCUCAAUUCCAGUUGCCUUCCUUACUCACACCAGAGACAAUAUUUUAUUGGCCUGCAAGGGUGUUAAAAUCCCAAGGGUGUUAAAAUCCCCAGAUCUCCAGGGCCUAUCAUUGGUCCAAACCCUGCAGAGGCUACAGUGACAUUAGCCCCUACUUACUGCCCAGCCUCUGAGCUCCCUCUUUGUUUCUAGAAUCUGGGGAUUUCCCUUUCUCUCUGUCUAGAGAUUGUUGUGCUGGACCCCUAUUGACUCCAAUAGGAAUGGCACCAGGUUCAAGAGGCCAAAGAAGAGACCUGGAGCCAGCAAAUGAGACAUAAGAUUUGAUUUGGGGGAACUUAUGUACAGGGAUGGACUAGUGGCAGUGGGCUGGAUAAGAGAACCACAACUGCUUUCCAAAAGCCUGCAGUUUAUACAGCACCUUCACUCAGCACCCUCUCUCCAGCAACAUCCACAUGGCAACCCCCAUUUCCUAGGCUAAGUUAUUGCUGUCAGAUGUGUUUGCCAUACAGGCUGCUGUACAGAGUAUGCUUAAGUUAUUGCUGUCAGGUACAUCCACCGUAUAUAUACAUACACAUGUACGUAUAUAUACACAUACAUGUAUGUGUGUGUGUACAUAUUUGUACUCAUAUACAUGUGUAUAUAUAGAUAUAUAAAAAAAUUUUCUCUGUGUUUCCCUGUAACAGUAACUGAAGAGGGAAUUCUUCUAUAUAAUCUCAGUCCACUAUAUUGCUAGAAGUUCUCUUCUCUAUACUUUUGAGAUAUGAAUUUUACCUUUCAAUAUUCUAAAAUUAUAACAAAGCUAUAAAUUUUGGGAAUUGGUAUAUGUUUGUUUUUAGAAAAAUUGUUAGAAACAUAAUAGCAAUGGGAUGCUUUAACAUGCUACCUUGAACCUUUACCAAAUCAAGAGAGUAAAAAUUAAGCACAAAAGAGGGAUCUAAUACUAUAAACAAGGUAGAUUUAAUACAUAUGUAUCAAACAUAGUAACCUAGAAGCAAUGAAUAUACAUUUUCUGGUGCUCAUUUAACAUUAACGACCUUCAAGAAGGCUUUAAACAGCAACAGAUAGAGUUGAGUUGCUUUGGCCUAUUGCUAAAGGCAUCUAACCCACCUGCUUUGUGGGAGGUCAUCUGCUUUGAAUCUCAACUGUAUCCAAGUCAGAUUUAAACUCUAUGGGGCAUUGGAAUUGUCCUCUGAAUCAUCUCCAACUCUGCAGGAUACAUAAUAGCACCACUUUGUUGUUCUGGAAUUUAAAGACAGGGUCUUAUUCAACUUUGGCUAUUUUUGUGCAGUCCAUGGAUCCUUGAAACAGGACAUUCUACUUUACCAAUAUCUGACUCAUAGAAGACCUAUCUAUAUACCUACCAGGUGGCUACUACCCAGUAACUCCUACCGCCAAUACCAUGACAUUUGUUUUGAAAACCUUAGCUUAUUGCAAUAUUGCUUAUAAUUAUGAAACCUUAGAAACAACUGAAAUGCCUAUCAAAGAGAGAAUUUAUAAAUAAAAUGUAACAUAUUCACGUUCUAUUUUGAUAUGAAUUACCAUAAUAUUCUAUUAGGAUAUGAAUUGUUAUAAUGGCCAUUAGAAGGAAUGGAUUGUUCCCAUAUAUAACAUAAUAUAUCCAUGUAUAAAGUAUCUAUAUAAUACCAACACGUAACAUAAUGUAAAGAAAAGAGAUUCAUGGAAUAAAAUGUGCAUGUCAUUGAUAUAAAUUUUAAAAACACAGAAAUAAUACAUUAUAUUAAGACUAUAUAUGUAUGUAAAAUUAUUACCAGUGGACUGAUUUGGAUAUACACUAAAUUCAUGCUACUU
ensembl:lncRNA ZBED3-AS1 ZBED3 antisense RNA 1